rnacentral:rRNA from 1 species
GACGAACGCUGGCGGCGUGCUUAACACAUGCAAGUCGAACGGAAAGGCCCCUUUGGGGGUACUCGAGUGGCGAACGGGUGAGUAACACGUGAGUAACCUGCCCUUGACUUCGGGAUAACUUCAGGAAACUGGGGCUAAUACCGGAUAGGAAUCCUUGCUGCAUGGUGGGGGUUGGAAAGCUUCGGCGGUUUUGGAUGGACUCGCGGCUUAUCAGCUUGUUGGUGGGGUAGUGGCUUACCAAGGCUUUGACGGGUAGCCGGCCUGAGAGGGCGACCGGCCACACUGGGGCUGAGAUACGGCCCAGACUCCUACGGGAGGCAGCAGUGGGGAAUAUUGCACAAUGGGCGGAAGCCUGAUGCAGCAACGCCGCGUGCGGGAUGACGGCCUUCGGGUUGUAAACCGCUUUCAGCAGGGGCGAAGCUUGUGGUGACGGUACCUGCAGAAGAAGCACCGGCUAACUACGUG